GAUGAACGCUGGCGGCGUGCCUAAUACAUGCAAGUCGAGCGAACAGAUGAGGAGCUUGCUCCUCUGACGUUAGCGGCGGACGGGUGAGUAACACGUGGAUAACCUACCUAUAAGACUGGGAUAACUUCGGGAAACCGGAGCUAAUACCGGAUAAUAUAUUGAACCGCAUGGUUCAAUAGUGAAAGACGGUUUUGCUGUCACUUAUAGAUGGAUCCGCGCCGCAUUAGCUAGUUGGUAAGGUAACGGCUUACCAAGGCAACGAUGCGUAGCCGACCUGAGAGGGUGAUCGGCCACACUGGAACUGAGACACGGUCCCGACUACUACGGGAGGCAGCAGUAGGGAAUCUUCCGCAAUGGGCGAAAGCCUGACGGAGCAACGCCGCGUGAGUGAUGAAGGUCUUCGGAUCGUAAAACUCUGUUAUUAGGGAAGAACAAAUGUGUAAGUAACUAUGCACGUCUUGACGGUACCUAAUCAGAAAGCCACGGCUAACUACGUG
rnacentral:rRNA from 1 species